ensembl:lncRNA
CACCCGCCCACGUGGCCAGCGCCCCGCCCUCUGAGUUCCGCCCAACCGGGCAAGACCCGAGCUGCUCCUGAGCGUGCGCAGAGACAAGGAGCGCCUGAGCUCGCAUUGAGUCCGCUGGUUUCCUUCUUGGACCAACAGAACGCGUAUGUUGGUGUUCCCGGUUGUCAGUUGUAGAAGAACAGAGAAAUAAAGGACCCUGAGACGUCCGCUGCCGCGGUAGCGGCAUUUUUCUCUUCCUCACAAAACAGUAUUGUAAAAACCUUACUGUUAAGAGUGAUUGGGGUGGUUUGGUUGGGCUAGAGUCAGGACAGAGGUGUCAAGCUGCAACUACAGCAGAUCUGGGACUUAAGGAGUUUGUCUCGGGCUGCUCAGCCUCCCAAGUGCGAGAACUGCAGACGCGAGCCACCACACCUGGCUUUCAAGACAUCUCGGAUGCACCCAGGAAAAUGUGACUCUGAUUCCUUGAAGCACUGCUUAUUGAAGCACGGUGUUGUAAGGACUUCCUAACAGAUAUAUUUACACGGAGUGCCUUGCAGUAUACCAGAGUCCCAAAACGACAAGAAGUAAGUCUAUACAAUAAAAUGCUAAUUAACAAAACAUUUAGAUACGGUUAAUUACACCAGAUAAAACUUUAUUGUUUGAACGCCGUUGGAAUGGGAGGAGUUUUAACCAACUGUAUCUGCCAAGGAGCAAGCAGAAGGAAGUACUCAGAAGUAGCAGUGGUGCAGGGGACAUU